AGAGUUUGAUCCUGGCUCAGGAUGAACGCUGGCGGCGUGCCUAACACAUGCAAGUCGAACGAAGAUGCAUUUCAGAUCCCUUCGGGGUGACGAGAUGCAGACUUAGUGGCGGACGGGUGAGUAAUGUAUGAGCAACCUGCCUUCAAGAGGGGAAUAACAGUCGGAAACGACUGCUAAUACCGCAUAAUAAAGCGUAGUCGCAUGACAAUGCUUUCAAAGGAGCAAUCCGCUUGAAGAUGGGCUCAUAUCUGAUUAGAUAGUUGGUGAGGUAACGGCUCACCAAGUCUGCGAUCAGUAGCCGGACUGAGAGGUUGAACGGCCACAUUGGAACUGAGAUACGGUCCAGACUCCUACGGGAGGCAGCAGUGGGGAAUAUUGGGCAAUGGGCGAAAGCCUGACCCAGCAACGCCGCGUGAAGGAAGAAGGUCUUCGGAUUGUAAACUUUUGUCUUAUGGGACGAUAAUGACGGUACCAUAGGAGGAAGCCACGACUAACUACGUGCCAGCAGUCGCGGUAAUACGUAGGUGGCGAGCGUUAUCCGGAAUUAUUGGGUGUAAAGGGUGCGUAGGCGGGUCGUAAAGUCAGAUGUGAAAUGCGGAGGCUCAACCUCCGAACUGCAUUUGAAACUUACGAUCUUGAGUGGAGUAGAGGCAAGCGGAAUUCCCGGUGUAGCGGUGAAAUGCAUAGAUAUCGGGAGGAACACCAGUGGCGAAGGCGGCUUGCUGGGCUUUUACUGACGCUGAGGCACGAAAGUGUGGGGAGCAAACAGGAUUAGAUACCCUGGUAGUCCACACC
rnacentral:rRNA from 1 species